GCCGGAGUGAUGAAAUCGGUAGACAUGCGGGUUUCAAAAACCCGUGGGUACCCCCCGUGAGAGUUCGAGUCUCUCCUCCGGCACCA
rnacentral:tRNA from 1 species